UGAGGAAUAUUGGUCAAUGGACGCAAGUCUGAACCAGCCAAGUAGCGUGCAGGAUGACGGCCCUAUGGGUUGUAAACUGCUUUUAUAUGGGGAUAAAGUGGGGAACGUGUUCCUUUUUGCAGGUACCAUAUGUAUAAGGACCGGCUAAUUCCGUGCCAGCAGCCGCGGUAAUACGGAAGGUCCAGGCGUUAUCCGGAUUUAUUGGGUGUAAAGGGAGCGUAGGCUGUUUGUUAAGCGUGUUGUGAAAUGUAAGAGCUCAAGUUUUAGAUUGCAGCGAGAGCUGGCAGACGUGAGUGCGGACGACGUAGGCGAAAUUCAUGGUGUAGCGGUGAAAUGCUUAGAUAUCAUGACGAACUCCGAUUGCGAAGGCAGCUUACGGGAGCGCAACUGACGAUAAAGCUCGAAGGUGCAGGUAUCGAACAGG
rnacentral:rRNA from 1 species